AACAGAUAAAUACCUCUUUAUCUCUCCAGUUUCCAAUCUCACUUUCUCUUCCUUCUUUCGGUCUCCAUCUCUAAUAAUCUAAGGAAAUGGAGAAAUCAGUAACCCUAUUUCAACCAACGUAGUAAACCUUCUCUAGAUUUUUCUUCUGAAAUCCCUCAAUUCACUAGCCGAUUUGCAGAUCUCAAAACUACUGGGAAUAAAUUCAGCUUUAUUAUUUCUCUAUUAUUCUCAAAAUCGAAAUAAAAAAAAUUGGGUAUCAAAUUAGAUGUGAUAUGUGAUUUGGAUCUAAGGGGUUCAUGAUUAGUGUGAUGUGUGAUUUGAAGCAAGGGUUUUUGUUCCAAUUAGACGAAAAUGAUGUGGUUCGUCUUUUUUUAUUUCGAUUUGGAUCUAAGGGGUUUCUAAUUGGGUAUUAAAUUAGAUGCGAUUCGUGUUUUUUUUUCUUCUUCACUAAACAGAAAAUGAGCUCCCAGAUUUAUAGAUCAGCAUCAACAAGAACUCCUAGAUCACUUAUCUCUUUAUCUAAAGGUCAUCGCUCUAACUAGGUACAGAAGGCAGUGGUGGAUCCUGAUAUUAUUGUCAAUGUUGUUCCUAAGGUUGGCGGUGCUAAUAGGAUGGAUUGGUGGAGUUGACAGUGUUACUGGUACGUGGUAGAGGAAGAUUAUAAAGUACUCAAUUCUUAGUUUAUCUCAAUACCUCUAUCAAGGGUUUCUCUUGGUGCAGCCACUAAGUUUUCGUCUUUGUGUGUUGAUGUAAGAACAAGGGUAUCUCUCGAUGAAAUCAGGGUCGAGGUACAAAGCAAAGGGUGUUACAUAUUGGUUUAAUGAUCUUUCCUUGUCUGAUGUCAAUUGAUUAUUGCUUUAAGGUUGUUAAACUAGUUACCAAUGGGAUUUGAUUUAUUUGCUUGGUGAACGGACCUCAUACAAUCAAUGGGAUUUGAUUUAUUUGCUUGUUGUGCGAAAAAGCGAUCUUGAAAUAUGUAAGCAUCUACUUACCUUUUGUUUGAUUAAUUUUAUGCUAAUUGGUUUUUGGUUUAGCUGUGCCCUAUAACUGUUUGUUUAAUUUGUUCAAAGUGGGUUGUGCUAUUAGAAAGCAUGUGCAGACAAUAGUAGGUUGGUCAUGGUAUAUGUACUUGUGUUUGUAUUCGUAAGUUUUAGAUUGGUAUGUGGGAAGGUUAAGAUGUAAGAAAUAAAGUCUUGACGAUCUUUGGUCUUUGUGGGUCUCUUUGAGUGUCUUAGUUGUACUGGACACAACAAACUUGCCAGACUUUCAUUACAAUAUGCUACACAAAAUUUAUCAAUUCUGAAUCUCAGUUAUGUGGUUGUUAUCUACAUUUGACAAUGAGCUUUUGCAUUUUUGCUUGGGAAGGAGCUUGAACAUUUCUAUGCCUCUUUGUAUGCUGGGAUUUACUAUGAAAUCUCAGGUUGUGUGAAUAUUUCAGUUAUGUCUCACAACCAGGACUUCUCUCAGAUAACUGAGAUAAGAGAUGAAGUCAUGAGUGUAGGUCAUCAUUGACAGAUUAGGCAUUUUUGUGGGUCUCAUGACCACUGUCCAGGCAAUGAUUGAAAAACAAAAUACUUUUGAUGGUCCGUCGAGCAAGGACUGGAGAGGUGGAAGGGCUGCUUCAUCCAGUAUCAUUCCUAGCCGCACUGUUGAAGGAUCUUAGCAUGUUGCUUAAGAAGCUUUAGUCUUUAGUCAGUUACAUCUUUGAUGAAUAUAAUUGUAGAUGCCAAGAUGGUGGUGCUCUGAUGGCUUAGUCAUCUACAAGCUCCCCCAUUCAUUUCAGACAUUGAAUCAGCCUAAUUAAGCCUUUUUCGAACACGAGAGCAAGGGCUUUUGCUCUUGGACUACUAGCUCUCAAGAUGGGAAAUUCACUCAACAAGGCUAUAUUUCGCUAGCAUGAAAAAGUUGGAUUGGUCAGCUGGGUGUAAAAAACAAAGAAGAGACGUUUGAGAGCAACAACUGUAAAUGGUUCAACUCAAGGUGGUUACACAGGCAGAUAUCUGGAGCGUUGUGUUAUCUCAGUUUAGGAGCAUAGUAGUGUAAUGGAAAAACAAUAGGAUUUGGUUCUUAGGGAGUAGACAGCUCUUUGCAGGUGCAAUUCAAUAAGGAAGAUAAACCACUGGCUUUCUACAGCAAACCACUUGGACCAAGAGCAGCUGCCUUGUCCACUUAUGAGAAAGAACUACUCUCUAUUGUCCAAGUUGUCACCAAGUGGAGGCAAUACUUACAAGGAAAUUAUUUCAUUAUACAGACUGACCACCAGAGUAUCAAAUAUUUCCUUAAACAAAAAAUCAACACUGAAUUACAACAAAAAUGGUUAAUGAAACUUAUGGGUUUUGAUUAUGAAAUCAGAUAUACAAAGGGGUCUGAUAACAAGGUUGCUGAUGCUCUUUCCAGACGAUCUCAUUCUGAAGUUGUUUGUCACACAAUCUUUGUUUCUCAGCCAGCUUGCACAUAAGAAAUUAUUGACAGUUAUGCUGGUGAUCAAAAGGUGCAGCACAUCAUUGCUCGAUUAGCUCUCUCCCCUGCUACACUUCCUCAUUACUCCUACAUGGAGGGCAUCCUCAGGUACAAGUCCAGACUUUACAUUGGCUCCAACACUGCUGUUAAAAACAGAAUUUUGGCAUCCAUACAUUCCUCUGCUGUGGGUGGCCACUCUGGCAUCCAAGCCACUUAUAUGAGAGCCAAAGCUAACUUCUUCUGGCCAGCCUUGAAGAGAGAUGUACUGAUGCUUGUCUCUACCUGUGACACUUUCCAAAGGAAUAAGCAUGAACACACCUUCCCAGCUGGCUUAUUGCAGCCCUUACCCAUCCAUGAUCAUGCCUGGCAGCACAUCUCUAUGGACUUUGUCGAAGGGUUAUCUAUGAGUGAAGGCAAAUCUGUCAUUUUAGUGGUGGUUGACAGGUUAACCAAGUAUGCCCACUUCAUUGGGUUACAUCAUCCUUAUACAACAUCCUCUGUAGCUAGAGAAUUUAUCUCUCAGGUCUUCAAGCUCCAUGGUCUUCCCUCAUCCAUUGUACAAAGUGUUCACUAGCCAUUUUUGGCAGGACUUAUUCAAAGCCAUGGGAACUCAGCUCAACCUCAGCACAUCCUACCACCCACAGGCUGAUGGCCAAACUGAAAGAGUAAACUCUUGCUUGGAAAGCUACCUCAGGUGUAUGUGUGGUCAUCAACCAAAGAAAUAGAAUCAAUGGUUACCUCUGGUUGAUUGGUGGUAUAACACCAACUAUCACUCCAGUUUAAAAGUAAGUCAUUUCACUGCUCUGUAUGGCCAAAAUUCUCCCCGCUUGGCUUUUCCUUCCACCACUACUACCUCUGUUGCUGCUGUUGAGGAGUAUUUAAAACAAAGAGAUGUUAUUUUGGAGCUACUUAAAGAUUCUCUACACAAGUCUCAGGAAAGGAUGAGGUUAUAUGCUGACAAACACCGGGUAGAGAGAAGUUUUGUGGUGGGUGAUAUAGUCUAUCUAAAACUCCAACCUUAUAGGCAGGCUUCUGUAUCCCUGAGAAGGAAUUUGAAAUUGGCAGCCAAGUACUAUGGACCAUUCCAUGUUUUACAGAAGAUUGGCAGCCAAGUACUAGAAUACACCCUGCAUUCCAUGUAUCUCAGCUGAAGAAGCACAUAACAGCCAAGCAUGCUCCUGCUCCCAGCCUUCCCAUCAUCAACAACAAGGGUCAGGCCUUGGUCAUCCCUGCUGCUGCUCUUGCUUCCAGAUCAAUUGUACGCAAUGGGGUUAUUGUGCCACAACUUCUCUUCCAUUGGACAAAUGCAACUCCAGAAGAUGCAAUUUGGGAAGACUCUGCUCACAUUCACCACCACUUUCCAAAGUUUAAUCCUUGAGGACAAGGAUUUGGUAAUGGGGGAGGUAUUUGUCAUAUACCUGCAUAUGACAAGACUAUAACCUUGGGCUGCCCUUAUUAAUCAUCUGGGUGUAGUUAGAAUUAUUGAGUGGCUAACAGCUAAGUGACAUGUGUCACGCUAGGAUUAGUUGAUCCCGAUCUAGAAUGUCCUCCUUCCAUUGUUUGUUUUAUCUGUGUAAGAACUCGACCAUUUUUGGUUAUGUGAGGAAUGAGUAAAGUGAGGCUGCUACGGCAGAGUUUUAAUUGAAUUUUUAUUUGUUUUUCGAUUACAAUCCUUGAAUCUCGA